rnacentral:rRNA from 1 species
UACAGAGGAGCCAAGCGUUGUCCGGAUUGACUGGGCGUAAAGCGCACGCAGGCGGAUGCGCGCGUGGGGGGUGAAAUCUGGCCGCUUAACGGCCAGGCGCCAUCCCAUACGGCGCGUCUGGAGUGGUGCAGAGGUCGAUGGAAUUGCCGGUGUAGUGGUGAAAUGCGUAGAGAUCGGCAGGAACACCCAGGGGGAAACCAGUCGACUGGGCAUCUACUGACGCUGAGGUGCGAGAGCGUGGGGAGCGAACCGG